rnacentral:rRNA from 1 species
AGAAUCAACGCUGGCGGCGUGCCUAACACAUGCAAGUCGAACGAGAAAGUGGGAGCAAUCCCACGAGUAAAGUGGCGCACGGGUGAGUAACACGUGACUAACCUACCCUUGAGUGGGGGAUAACCUAGGGAAACCUGGGCUAAUACCGCAUAAUACCUACGGGUCAAAGGAGCAAUUCGCUUAAGGAGGGGGUCGCGGCAGAUUAGUUAGUUGGCGGGGUAAUGGCCCACCAAGACAGUGAUCUGUAUCCGGCCUGAGAGGGCGCACGGACACACUGGAACUGAAACACGGUCCAGACUCCUACGGGAGGCAGCAGUGGGGAAUUUUGCGCAAUGGGGGAAACCCUGACGCAGCAACGCCGCGUGGAGGAUGAAGCCCCUUGGGGCGUAAACUCCUUUCGAUCGGGAAGAUAAUGACGGUACCGGAAGAAGAAGCCCGGCUAACUUCGCGCCAGCAGCCGC